UGGGGAAUUUUGGACAAUGGGCGAAAGCCUGAUCCAGCAAUGCCGCGUGUGUGAAGAAGGCCUUCGGGUUGUAAAGCACUUUUGUCCGGAAAGAAAUCCUUGGCUCUAAUACAGUCGGGGGAUGACGGUACCGGAAGAAUAAGCACCGGCUAACUACGUGCCAGCAGCCGCGGUAAUACGUAGGGUGCAAGCGUUAAUCGGAAUUACUGGGCGUAAAGCGUGCGCAGGCGGUUUGCUAAGACCGAUGUGAAAUCCCCGGGCUCAACCUGGGAACUGCAUUGGUGACUGGCAGGCUAGAGUAUGGCAGAGGGGGGUAGAAUUCCACGUGUAGCAGUGAAAUGCGUAGAGAUGUGGAGGAAUACCGAUGGCGAAGGCAGCCCCCUGGGCCAAUACUGACGCUCAUGCACGAAAGCGUGGGGAGCAAACAGGAUUAGAUACCCUGGUAGUCCACGCCCUAAACGAUGUCAACUAGUUGUUGGGAUUCAUUUCCUAGUAACGUAGCUAACGCGUGAAGUUGACCGCCUGGGGAGUACGGUCGCAAGAUU
rnacentral:rRNA from 1 species